UGGGGAAUAUUGCACAAUGGGGGAAACCCUGAUGCAGCGACGCCGCGUGAGCGAAGAAGGUUUUCGAAUCGUAAAGCUCUGUCCUAUGAGAAGAUAAUGACGGUAUCAUAGGAGGAAGCCCCGGCUAAAUACGUGCCAGCAGCCGCGGUAAUACGUAUGGGGCGAGCGUUGUCCGGAAUUAUUGGGCGUAAAGGGUACGUAGGCGGUCUAUUAAGUCAGGUGUGAAAGCGUGAGGCUUAACCUCAUUAAGCACUUGAAACUGAUAGACUUGAGUGAAGGAGAGGAAAGUGGAAUUCCUAGUGUAGCGGUGAAAUGCGUAGAUAUUAGGAGGAAUACCGGUGGCGAAGGCGACUUUCUGGACUUUUACUGACGCUCAGGUACGAAAGCGGGGGGAGCAAACAGG
rnacentral:rRNA from 1 species